rnacentral:rRNA from 1 species
UUUCGAAUCUUUCACAAUGGGCGAAAGCCUGAUGGAGCAACGCCGCGUGGGGGAUGAAGGUCCUCGGAUUGUAAACCCCUGUCACCAAGGAUAAACCGUGGUCGGUUAAUACCCGGCUGCCUGAUGUAACUUGGAGAGGAAGAGGUGGCUAACUCUGUGCCAGCAGCCGCGGUAAUACAGAGACCUCAAGCGUUAUUCGGAUUUACUGGGCGUAAAGGGUGCGCAGGCGGCCAGAUGUGUCAGAGGUGAAAUACUGCAGCUUAACUGUAGAACUGCCUUUGAAACUAUUUGGCUAGAGUAUCGGAGAGGAUAGCGGAAUUCCAGGUGUAGCAGUGAAAUGCGUAGAUAUCUGGAGGAACACCAAUGGCGAAGGCAGCUAUCUGGACGAUUACUGACGCUCAGGCACGAAAGCGUGGGGAGCGAAAGGGAUUAGAUACCCCCGUAGUCC